CGAGUAGAGGCUGGUAAUGUAUAUAAGGAACCAACUGUUUAUGUUUGCUUAUGUUAAUUAUGUUAAUUUUGUUAACUUGGUGACACCUCAACCCGCACAUCUCACCUGCACAGACAACACCUACACGCACGCCAACGCACAUUUGAACCCCGAAUGCCAAAAAUUGGCCAAAUCUAGCUCAGAUCUAUCCCCUAUCUAAUUGAAAAAGCACACCCACCAACCUACACCUAAGACAAAAAGGUUCUGGAUAACCUACUAACCCUAACCGGCUGGAAUUGCAGUGAAACUAAAAUGCAG